rfam:Marine metagenome 1096626439555, whole genome shotgun sequence.
GGCAGCCUCGGUAGAGCGAUCCGAGAGCUGACAGAACACGUCUCCUGCGUGAGCGAUCGCGGGAGACACCGUUCUGUGCCAUAAACCUGAAAAGAGUUAGUGCAUUUGAUGCACAGCUCUAUAUCAGUACGAGCUUGUGAAUGCAGACACCGCAUCGCUCGGGGAGAACAGCGUUCUCCUCGCGGUUCCGCCGCCCCA